CGUGAAAAUGCCAGUCAGUACUAUUCAAUCACCUAUUAAGAAGUGGAAAUAUUGGGGAUCUCUUGAUACCAAACCAAGGUCAGGUAGACCAAGAAAGAUUUCAGCCACAACUGCCAGAAGAAUUGUUAUGGAUACAGAGGGUUGUUUCAAGGAGCACAAUAUGACGAUACUUGAGCAAAAAUGAGAUGCAUGGUUUAUUUGCUGAAAGAAGCCAAUGCCACAAAAAAGCCCGGUUACAAUAUCCUUGACACGCCUCACAGGUUUUGGCACACUGUAAUUUGGAGUGAUGAGACCAAAAUAGAGCUUUAUGGUCGCAACCAUAAGCGCUAUGAUUGGAGAGGGGUCAACAAGGCUGUGGCGAAAGUAACCUUGCCACUGGUUUUUGGAGGGGCCUGCUUGCCAGCCUCCUGCCCUGCGACUAUGGCCCUGGGAUGUAUUGCCCUUCUAGGAACUGAUGUGGGCAUACUUGAUUUUAUUAUGCUGCUGCUUUAACAACCAUCUGGGGACAUACUGGGUGGCCACCAUUUCAUGUAUCAGAGGCACAUGGUGAGAACAAUGGAUGAAGCACAUGGUGAGAACAAUGGAUGGCGGUCAUUUUAACUCACAGACACUGUUUGGACUUUUCUACACGGUGCC